CAUAGGUUAAUGAGGCGAACCGGGGGAACUGAAACAUCUAAGUACCCCGAGGAAAAGAAAUCAACCGAGAUUCCCCCAGUAGCGGCGAGCGAACGGGGAGGAGCCCAGAGCCUGAAUCAGUGUGUGUGUUAGUGGAAGCGUCUGGAAAGGCGCGCGAUACAGGGUGACAGCCCCGUACACAAAAAUGCACAUAUUGUGAGCUCGAUGAGUAGGGCGGGACACGUGGUAUCCUGUCUGAAUAUGGGGGGACCAUCCUCCAAGGCUAAAUACUCCUGACUGACCGAUAGUGAACCAGUACCGUGAGGGAAAGGCGAAAAGAACCCCGGCGAGGGGAGUGAAAAAGAACCUGAAACCGUGUACGUACAAGCAGUGGGAGCCUCUUUAUGGGGUGACUGCGUACCUUUUGUAUAAUGGGUCAGCGACUUAUAUUCUGUAGCAAGGUUAACCGAAUAGGGGAGCCGAAGGGAAACCGAGUCUUAACUGGGCGUUAAGUUGCAGGGUAUAGACCCGAAACCCGGUGAUCUAGCCAUGGGCAGGUUGAAGGUUGGGUAACACUAACUGGAGGACCGAACCGACUAAUGUUGAAAAAUUAGCGGAUGACUUGUGGCUGGGGGUGAAAGGCCAAUCAAACCGGGAGAUAGCUGGUUCUCCCCGAAAGCUAUUUAGGUAGCGCCUCGUGAAUUCAUCUCCGGGGGUAGAGCACUGUUUCGGCAAGGGGGUCAUCCCGACUUACCAACCCGAUGCAAACUGCGAAUACCGGAGAAUGUUAUCACGGGAGACACACGGCGGGUGCUAACGUCCGUCGUGAAGAGGGAAACAACCCAGACCGCCAGCUAAGGUCCCAAAGUCAUGGUUAAGUGGGAAACGAUGUGGGAAGGCCCAGACAGCCAGGAUGUUGGCUUAGAAGCAGCCAUCAUUUAAAGAAAGCGUAAUAGCUCACUGGUCGAGUCGGCCUGCGCGGAAGAUGUAACGGGGCUAAACCAUGCACCGAAGCUGCGGCAGCGACACUAUGUGUUGUUGGGUAGGGGAGCGUUCUGUAAGCCUGUGAAGGUGGCCUGUGAGGGUUGCUGGAGGUAUCAGAAGUGCGAAUGCUGACAUAAGUAACGAUAAAGCGGGUGAAAAGCCCGCUCGCCGGAAGACCAAGGGUUCCUGUCCAACGUUAAUCGGGGCAGGGUGAGUCGACCCCUAAGGCGAGGCCGAAAGGCGUAGUCGAUGGGAAACAGGUUAAUAUUCCUGUACUUGGUGUUACUGCGAAGGGGGGACGGAGAAGGCUAUGUUGGCCGGGCGACGGUUGUCCCGGUUUAAGCGUGUAGGCUGGUUUUCCAGGCAAAUCCGGAAAACCAAGGCUGAGGCGUGAUGACGAGGCACUACGGUGCUGAAGCGACAAAUGCCCUGCUUCCAGGAAAAGCCUCUAAGCAUCAGGUAACAUCAAAUCGUACCCCAAACCGACACAGGUGGUCAGGUAGAGAAUACCAAGGCGCUUGAGAGAACUCGGGUGAAGGAACUAGGCAAAAUGGUGCCGUAACUUCGGGAGAAGGCACGCUGAUAUGUAGGUGAAGCGACUUGCUCGUGGAGCUGAAAUCAGUCGAAGAUACCAGCUGGCUGCAACUGUUUAUUAAAAACACAGCACUGUGCAAACACGAAAGUGGACGUAUACGGUGUGACGCCUGCCCGGUGCCGGAAGGUUAAUUGAUGGGGUUAGCGGUAACGCGAAGCUCUUGAUCGAAGCCCCGGUAAACGGCGGCCGUAACUAUAACGGUCCUAAGGUAGCGAAAUUCCUUGUCGGGUAAGUUCCGACCUGCACGAAUGGCGUAAUGAUGGCCAGGCUGUCUCCACCCGAGACUCAGUGAAAUUGAACUCGCUGUGAAGAUGCAGUGUACCCGCGGCAAGACGGAAAGACCCCGUGAACCUUUACUAUAGCUUGACACUGAACAUUGAGCCUUGAUGUGUAGGAUAGGUGGGAGGCUUUGAAGUGUGGACGCCAGUCUGCAUGGAGCCGACCUUGAAAUACCACCCUUUAAUGUUUGAUGUUCUAACGUUGGCCCGUAAUCCGGGUUGCGGACAGUGUCUGGUGGGUAGUUUGACUGGGGCGGUCUCCUCCUAAAGAGUAACGGAGGAGCACGAAGGUUGGCUAAUCCUGGUCGGACAUCAGGAGGUUAGUGCAAUGGCAUAAGCCAGCUUGACUGCGAGCGUGACGGCGCGAGCAGGUGCGAAAGCAGGUCAUAGUGAUCCGGUGGUUCUGAAUGGAAGGGCCAUCGCUCAACGGAUAAAAGGUACUCCGGGGAUAACAGGCUGAUACCGCCCAAGAGUUCAUAUCGACGGCGGUGUUUGGCACCUCGAUGUCGGCUCAUCACAUCCUGGGGCUGAAGUAGGUCCCAAGGGUAUGGCUGUUCGCCAUUUAAAGUGGUACGCGAGCUGGGUUUAGAACGUCGUGAGACAGUUCGGUCCCUAUCUGCCGUGGGCGCUGGAGAACUGAGGGGGGCUGCUCCUAGUACGAGAGGACCGGAGUGGACGCAUCACUGGUGUUCGGGUUGUCAUGCCAAUGGCACUGCCCGGUAGCUAAAUGCGGAAGAGAUAAGUGCUGAAAGCAUCUAAGCACGAAACUUGCCCCGAGAUGAGUUCUCCCUGAGACUUAGAGUCUCCUGAAGGAACGUUGAAGACGACGACGUUGAUAGGCCGGGUGUGUAAGCGCAGCGAUGCGUUGAGCUAACCGGUACUAAUGAACCGUGAGGCUUAACCUUACAACGCCGAAG
rnacentral:rRNA from 1 species